UGAACGGCAUGCAUACUUUUCAUCAAGAUGGAAGGUGUCCCUUGGUCUAUCACUGAAGAUGUAGAAAAACAAUUGCUUAACCUUCCAUUGAUUAAGAAUGAAUAUACAUACACAAAGAUUGGGCACUGCAGUGAGUUGCCCGAAUAUUACAACUAGUUACAAGAAUCAAGGAAUUACAGCUAAUUACAAAAAAUAUUACAACUAACUACAUGAAUUUAAAAUAUAAAGAAAAUCAAAUCUUAUCUUGUGUAAUUAAUAUGCUAAUAGGACAGACAGAGCAUUUGAUUGAGACCACCGAUUAAAUAGUUCUAGUUUCCUCUGUUUUUUAGUUUUGAUUUUAUUUUGAAAGUGUAGUUUGGAUCAAAUACAGGUGUUUGGCAAAUUAUGAAGUAAGUAAACUCUAUGUUUAUAAAUGUAAGGCAGUUGCUUCUGGCGUUUGAGCUCCACAGGUACUAGAAAGUUUUUAAUUCCAUACUUCUUAUUUUUGGUCGUUUUUAAAUUUGUAAAAGUAACUCUGGUCUAGUUCUUUACUUCAACUUUAGUUUCAUGUGGCAGUAAGAAAGGUAUAAUAUAAUAUCAAUCAAUUAAAUUUCUCAUGUAGCAGUGGCAUGAUAAUGCUAAAUUGAUCGUUGAUUUGAAUUUUCGCUUAUAUAUAGUUUGCGUAGAUGAAUAUUACAUAUCAGAAUUCACGUUCUGUAAGUAUAUAGACUUAUCAAGUAAUUAUUUUGGUGCGUACCAUGUGAUAAGGGAACUACAUACGCCUUAGAUGGAAGGUGUCCCUUGGUCUAUUACUGAAGAGACAGAGCACUUGUACCAGCUUAUUUUCUCUGUUUCUACUUUUGAUUUUUUUUUUUUUUUUUUAUUAUAGUUUGUAUAUCAAAAUGUAUAUAGUAGCUUCCAUCGUUUUGUAGUAAAAGUAUAUUAUGUAUCAUAACGUAUGCUACACUUUUAACUAUAAUAUGUUUAAAAUUAUGUAUUUUGAUGUGCAAUAGUGCAAAGUAGUGUAUAAUUUUUUGUUUGAGUGAAAAGUAACAUUAUUCGACUUUUAUAAUAGGGUUGCUCCUUCUAUUUUGUAUUUUUUGCCCAAAUGCAUAUAAUUUUUUAAAAGUUGCAGUAUCACUUUAACAUAUUUUUAUUUUUAUUUCACUUUAGCCCACUUUUAUAGUUAAAUCAUUAGUCAACUUAUAUAUUGGACUCGAAUACAUAUUAUUGUUUCAGUACCAAAAGUCUAUAAUAUAUUACACCCUAAGCCUAAGGUAGCUCCGUUACUGGUUACAAUAUUAUUCGAUCUUCUUUCGGUUCAUUGAUUAAUAUUCUUUAAUCAUUGCACUUACACAACAACAACCUUCGUGGAUAAUUCUCUUUGUCUUUACAAAAUUGUAGUUAAUUAAUGUUUACUGUAGACCUUGGUGAGAACAAUUUUAGAGGAAGCAUACUUGCUUGGGUGUGGAGGAGGCUUUUAAAAAUGAGGAACCUUAGACUUCAUUUCAAUAAGUUCCAUGGUCAUUCAUAUUCUUGAUCAACUAUGUGCUCUCACUACUUCUUUUCAAAUUUUGGACCUUGCAAGUAACAACUUGCAUGCUAUAUACCAAUUUGUUUCAACAAUUUCUCUGCUAUGGUUGUAAAGAGACUGUCAGAUAGUUACUCUACCAAUUAUAAUAAAGUUCUGAACGUCAGCAUUGGGUUCUAUGAAGAAGAUGUGUUAGAAGUCGUGAUGAAAGGUCAAGUGGUUGAAUUCAAACAAAGCAGAGCCUUCUUCUUGCAUGUUAACUGUUUGGACAUUCAACUGAAUUGCAUCUUAGCUAUUUGAUUAUUUGCACUGUUUUGUUUUGGUGGUGGUGAUGCUGACAUAGAUGAGGAAGAAGAGGUUAAUGGCGCCACUGGAAGAAGUUGACUUGCCAGCAGUCAAAUAUGAGGACGAAGAGUUUCGAGUUGCUGAAUAACACUGAAAUACCAGAAGCACCCAUGUUUAAACCUGAAUUUUCUCCCCAAGGUUUUCUUCACUGCGCUCACUUUUCUUUUGAUGUCUCUUUCUGCUACAAUGUAUGAGAGAGAUGUGGGAAUGUUAAUUUGGCUUUUAUUUGUUAGAAACGAAGAAAUUUGAAUCGACAAUGUGCAUAGAGACUGUGGCUGGGGCAGAAAUGUCAAACUGAAAACCAAACAUGCUAACCAAUAUCUUAUAUUCUGGUUUGAGAAGUAGUGUAAUAGAUCAUCAAUAAAAAUGAUAGCUUGAGUGUGGCAUGAAUUAGAACCCAAACCUGGUGUUGUCAUGCUUGAUGAAGAAGGGAAACCUGAAGAGAGAGUUGAGUUAGCUUCGAAAUCCCUUCCACAAUAUGAUCCUGCUAGCUGUUGGAAUGGGGAUUCAACCCCAUCUUUUCAAAAUAAGUGAUCAUGCAUAUGCUUAUCGCUCUGGGCGUGCAACACCAAGCAUAACAAUGGAACUACUGCAGCUCAAAGAUAAAAGCAAUUGCGAAAAACUCAAGCAGAUAACACAAGAACAAAGAUAAGACAAAGGACACACAAGAAAGCUAUACUGGUUCAGUUCGCAUGGUGAGAACCUACAUCCAGUUCUCAUGAUGCCAUCAAAUCCACUAUGAAGAACUACCUCUACAAGGUUACAGAUCAUGUAGUCUCAGUUAUAAACGAGUUAAGCAGUAAGCAACCCCACAACCUUUGUUGAUUUCUUUUGAUGCUGAGGAAGUCAGGAAGCAAGCUACGGUUUCGACAAGGAGGUUUGAAGAAGGGAACCCAUUAUCUAUCUUGCAUGGGAUUUUUGUGGCAAUCAAAGACGAUAAUGACUGCUAUCCCCAUCGUAUGACAG